rnacentral:lncRNA from 1 species
UUAGAGCAAGUCCAAUGGUGAUGUUAAAAUAGAUGUAGCUAUUGUUAUAAUUUGAAACCAAAAAGUGAUUUUUGGUGCUAAAAUAGAACUUAUGGUCCAAUGGUAAAUGCAAAAUAGCACCAAACAUAUCCAAAUAAAGCUAUAUUCUAAUUACAUAAUCUUUAAGUACAUAACUAUAUUUGUCACUAUUACUUUAUUAAUACAUUUUGUCACUUGCAUGCUUAUGUGGCAAUUAUAGCACCAUCUAUAGUUGGUUCUAUAUAUAGAACCAAGUAUAGCAUUUUGCUAUUUUACAUUCAAGUUUAGCAUCCCAUUGGUGUUGAAUUUUUUGCUUGGAUGCUAUAUUAUAGCAAUAGCACCUACUUUAAC